GAGAAAGUUUGGACGUUUGGGAC
rnacentral:siRNA from 1 species